UACGAAGGGGGCUAGCGUUGCUCGGAAUCACUGGGCGUAAAGCGCACGUAGGCGGAUUGCUAAGUCAGGGGUGAAAUCCUGGAGCUCAACUCCAGAACUGCCUUUGAUACUGGGAGACUUCGAGUCCGGGAGAGGUGAGUGGAACUGCGAGUGUAGAGGUGAAAUUCGUAGAUAUUCGCAAGAACACCAGUGGCGAAGGCGGCUCACUGGCCCGGUACUGACGCUGAGGUGCGAAAGCGUGGGGAGCAAACAGG
rnacentral:rRNA from 1 species